CCUACGGGAGGCAGCAGUGGGGGAUAUUGGACAAUGGGGGCAGCCCUGAUCCAGCAAUGCCGCGUGUGUGAAGAAGGCCUUCGGGUUGUAAAGCACUUUCAGUGGGGAGAAAGGUCAUUCACCUAAUACGUGAGUGAAUUGAUGUUACCCACAGAAGAAGCACCGGCUAACUCCGUGCCAGCAGCCGCGGUAAU
rnacentral:rRNA from 1 species